AUGACAAAAGCCUGUGAUGGAUUUGCUAUAUGUUAACUCACAAUGCCCUUUCCUCCAGAAUUUAACUAUAAGUUAAUACACACCGGAAACCACGCGCAUACACGCCCGUUAAUGGGCUUAGGUAUUAGCGAGUCCUAACGAUGCAUACAAAUGUGCUCUGUGCUCUGUAGGCCCCUCAAGAUUUAUGGGCCUUGAGCUCUCUGAAGCUGUAAACAAGGAGAAAAAAAGAGAAAGCGAGAGAGACUGGGGGAAAGAGACAGAGGCCUGAAUCGCCCCUCCAGAUUGUGGGAGAGAAGGGAUUUUUAUAUUUUUUCCUUGCCUUAGGAGCUCGGUGCGUGUGGGUUUUCGCAUUGGUCUGGGGGUGGUAUGCUGCGUGAAUGCUGGUGUGCGUGGGCAGCGUGUGGUUUGUGUGGUGGGGUAUGAGCACCUCUGCCUCCUUUGAGUUGCCGUGCAAGGGCCUAAACAUAGCAGGCAUUUGUGGACAUAUAUUUGUGUGUGCACUGUGUUAGGUGUGAGUGUCUGCCUGCCCCACGCACGUGUGACAAGGAGGCCUCCCUCUGGGCCAGGCUGCUGUCCCCUGAACCUGGUGAACAAAUCUCUAACAGCAAUCAUAAUAACAAUAAAUAACAUAACUAAUAAAAACAGUAGUUAACAGUCCCUCCCUAGUAGGAUAACAAUAAAAUGUCAGGGGAGGCGUUUUGAGGAGCCAGUGAAGGAGUCACCAUCUCAGAAUCUAAAGGGAAGACUGGAAAGGAAGGAAGUUAGCUUCUUUAAAUGCCUUUGAGGGGCUGGGGUUGGGAAUCCCCUCCCCAGACUGGGUUCUUGGCCCACAGGAGGGGAGGAAAGCCAGGAGGCCACUUUUCUGCUGCUUUUUCUAUGGCGUUUACUCCACAUAUGGGGUGGUUAGUAGCUUUGGGGGCUCUCUGAGAACCCCUGUUUUAAAGAGGAGGCCAAAUGUGCCGAGUCAGGCCGAGGGGCAAAGAAGGACGGGGCGAUGACCACAGUCUCCGGUCCUGGCCGCCGGGCGCCGAAGUGCCCGAGGACGAGCCGCGGGGCCGGGGAGAAAGCAGAAAAAUAUUUAUGGCCGCCCGCCCGGGAGUGAGGAGAGCGGGCGAGUGAGGCUGGGGCUCCUGCAAGUGAAAGUUCCUUUCCUGGAGUCUUUUUAAAAAGAAAGGAGAGGUUGAGGCGCCUUGAAUUUUCCUCCUGGAGAUUAGAGCCCAGCGGAUUUCUGUAAAGGAAGCGAAGACCGAGGUCCGGGUUCCUGCAGUGUCAGCCUCCUUCUCUCCAGGCCUCUCUACUUGCCCAGUUCUCACCCACCAGGACACUGACGGAAGGGGCUUCUGGGCUGCCCCCCACCCACUCCUGCUUGGCUUCCCAAAGUCCAGCGACCUCCAACCCUCCUUGGGGAAAAAAUACCUGUACCCAGGCACCUUAGCCCCCUGUGCUAUGUGACCGGGCUCCCUCAGGAAUAUUGUACAAAGAAGAAGAAAGAACAGCUCACUCGGGAGCCGUGUUUACAUCUAGUUGUACUGAUCCAUCCACAUCUGGAGGGUUUAUUUAUAACUCCUUCUAUAACUCUUUCUAUUCAGAGGCACUGGUGGCUCUAUUGACAGACUGAUGCCUACAAAAUAUUGCUCUAUCUCUAACCAUACCUAAAUGUUCUGUGGUUGUAUUUACAGAUUUAUGCUUGAGGAAAAUAUAAUUAUUUCCAUUGUA